rnacentral:misc_RNA from 1 species
UCUGAACUUCACCAUUCUUCUUCAUAUCGUGUUUGGCUGCAUUUGUGUUAAGCCCUUACAAGUUGCAAAUACAAAACAGGAAUAGGAUAACCAAAUGCCAAUAUUGCAAAUGUAUUUCUAACAGAUCAAUUUUGCAAAUCAGCACACAGUGAGUAGGAUAAAACUAUCAUUACAUGCCAACUAUAUCUAAGAAAAAAAAUUAACAGAUAAAUGGUAUAUACCAAUAUGGUAACUUGUUUAUGGCACAUAGGUGAAUAAGAAUAACCAUUCCAGAGAAAUACUAGUUUCUUUAGAACAAAAACAGGGCCUUUAUUGGAUUUGAUUUAAAACUCUGGACUCAAGAAAAACCAACUGAUAAGAUUAGACAGUUUCUAGAAAGUAGGGACUUCAGCUCCCUUUGUGCAACACAGUAUCCAUACUGCCAAUGAAAAGAAAAAAAAAAUACACAAUAACAAGUUAUAGCAGCACUAAAGCCUACAGCACAUGCAAUGAGCAUGCAGAACAUGUUAACAAAAAAAAAAAGGUAGGAAGAUGUGACAAUACUUGACUAGGGGUAUGCAAUUAGUCUGUUCGGUUCUGAACUGAACAAUCGAAAAGCAUAUUUUUAUGAAUUGAACUGAACCGAACCAAACUAAUAGUAAAACCAAAUUGAACCGAACCAAUAAAAUUGGUUCAGUUUGGUUCAAUCAGUUCCAGAACACUUCCUGUCCAAGAUGACAAAGCCACACCCCCCUCCCAAAUCACCAACAAAAAAUCCUCAAACUAAGAGAUUAACACAACACAAAAUCACCAAUAAACUAAAAUACAAUAAUCAACAAGAUCAACAACAAUAAUCAACAUUUCAAUUAAAAAAAUAACAAUAAUCAACAACAAUCGAAAACUAAAAAGAAUCCGAGUAGUGAGGCACAGUAGCAAGCUAGGAGCGAGGCACAGCAACGAGCAAGAGGACCGAGGCACAGCAAACCAAGAGAAUUGAAAACUGAAGAGAGCAGAUGAGGCAUCGAGUGGCUGAGAGCAGAGAAUCUGAGCACACCCAAAAAAUUGAGGAGCUGCCAAGAGCAGAGAAUCUGAAAGGGAAAGGCAGAGACGACAAUGAUAAGUUGCGAAGGGGAUGUGAUGGGAUUGUGAGGGAGGGGAGGGGAUGCAACUGGAAAAGGCGUAAUGCUAGGAUGCGACUUGCGACUCGAAAGUUGCGAGGGAAGGGAUGGGAUGCAUGCGAGGUGACAGAGGCACGAGCCAUAAAGGGGACUGGGUCAGGGUGGGAAUCGGGAUGCAGUGUAGAUGACUGAGAAUCUGAGAUGAGUUGCUUGAGAUUGAGAAAGUUUAGGAUGGAAGACAUGAGAAUGAGUCAGGAAGGAGAAGGUUUCUUAAAGAAACCUGGGCUGGGCUUUGAAAAUGGACAGAGACAGGAGGCCUAGGCUUAUCUCAGGUUUAAUUAAAAUGGCCCCAUUUCAGUCACUUUCGU